rnacentral:misc_RNA from 1 species
GAUGAAGAACGUAGCAAAAUGCGAUAAGUAAUGCGAAUUGCAGAAUUUCCGUGAGUCAUCGAAUCUUUGAACGCACAUUGCGCCCACUGGUAUUCCGGUGGGCAUGCCUGUUCGAGCGUCAUUAUCCUCCCUCAAACCCCGGGUUUGGUGUUGGACCCAAGUUGUGUGAACAACUGGUCUCAAAGACAAUGACGGCGUCCGUGGGACCCUCGGUGCAACGAGCUUUUAGGAGCACGCAUCGAGUUGCAAGGACCUUCCGGGCCGGUCUCCUUUACCAUUUUACAAGGUUGACCUCGGAUCAGGUAGGAAUACCCGCUGAACUUAAGCAUAUCAAUAAGCGGAGGA